rnacentral:rRNA from 1 species
GGUAAAUUGACGGGGCCCGCACAAGCGGUGGAGCAUGUGGUUUAAUUCGACGCAACGCGAAGAACCUUACCAGGGCUUGACAUCCCCUGACCGCGUAUGAAAGUACGUUUUCACCCUCGGGUGACAGGGAGACAGGUGGUGCAUGGUUGUCGUCAGCUCGUGUCGUGAGAUGUUGGGUUAAGUCCCGCAACGAGCGCAACCCCUACGUUUAGUUGCUAACGCGUGAAGGCGAGCACUCUAGACGAACUGCCGUUGACAAAACGGAGGAAGGUGGGGAUGACGUCAAAUCAUCAUGCCCCUUAUGUUCUGGGCUACACACGUGCUACAAUGGGCGAUACAGAGUGACGCGAAGCCGCGAGGUGGAGCAAAUCGCAGAAAAUCGCUCUCAGUUCGGAUUGGAGUCUGAAACCCGACUCCAUGAAGGUGGAAUCGCUAGUAAUCGCGCAUCAGCAUGGCGCGGUGAAUACGUUCUCGGGGUUU